GAACCGACUAAUGUUGAAAAAUUAGCGGAUGACUUGUGGCUGGGGGUGAAAGGCCAAUCAAACCGGGAGAUAGCUGGUUCUCCCCGAAAGCUAUUUAGGUAGCGCCUCGUGAAUUCAUCUCCGGGGGUAGAGCACUGUUUCGGCAAGGGGGUCAUCCCGACUUACCAACCCGAUGCAAACUGCGAAUACCGGAGAAUGUUAUCACGGGAGACACACGGCGGGUGCUAACGUCCGUCGUGAAGAGGGAAACAACCCAGACCGCCAGCUAAGGUCCCAAAGUCAUGGUUAAGUGGGAAACGAUGUGGGAAGGCCCAGACAGCCAGGAUGUUGGCUUAGAAGCAGCCAUCAUUUAAAGAAAGCGUAAUAGCUCACUGGUCGAGUCGGCCUGCGCGGAAGAUGUAACGGGGCUAAACCAUGCACCGAAGCUGCGGCAGCGACGCUGAUGCGUUGUUGGGUAGGGGAGCGUUCUGUAAGCCUGUGAAGGUGUGCUGUGAGGCAUGCUGGAGGUAUCAGAAGUGCGAAUGCUGACAUAAGUAACGAUAAAGCGGGUGAAAAGCCCGCUCGCCGGAAGACCAAGGGUUCCUGUCCAACGUUAAUCGGGGCAGGGUGAGUCGACCCCUAAGGCGAGGCCGAAAGGCGUAGUCGAUGGGAAACAGGUUAAUAUUCCUGUACUUGGUGUUACUGCGAAGGGGGGACGGAGAAGGCUAUGUUGGCCGGGCGACGGUUGUCCCGGUUUAAGCGUGUAGGCUGGUUUUCCAGGCAAAUCCGGAAAAUCAAGGCUGAGGCGUGAUGACGAGGCACUACGGUGCUGAAGCAACAAAUGCCCUGCUUCCAGGAAAAGCCUCUAAGCAUCAGGUAACAUCAAAUCGUACCCCAAACCGACACAGGUGGUCAGGUAGAGAAUACCAAGGCGCUUGAGAGAACUCGGGUGAAGGAACUAGGCAAAAUGGUGCCGUAACUUCGGGAGAAGGCACGCUGAUAUGUAGGUGAAGCGACUUGCUCGUGGAGCUGAAAUCAGUCGAAGAUACCAGCUGGCUGCAACUGUUUAUUAAAAACACAGCACUGUGCAAACACGAAAGUGGACGUAUACGGUGUGACGCCUGCCCGGUGCCGGAAGGUUAAUUGAUGGGGUCAGCGCAAGCGAAGCUCUUGAUCGAAGCCCCGGUAAACGGCGGCCGUAACUAUAACGGUCCUAAGGUAGCGAAAUUCCUUGUCGGGUAAGUUCCGACCUGCACGAAUGGCGUAAUGAUGGCCAGGCUGUCUCCACCCGAGACUCAGUGAAAUUGAACUCGCUGUGAAGAUGCAGUGUACCCGCGGCAAGACGGAAAGACCCCGUGAACCUUUACUAUAGCUUGACACUGAACAUUGAGCCUUGAUGUGUAGGAUAGGUGGGAGGCUUUGAAGUGUGGACGCCAGUCUGCAUGGAGCCGGCCUUGAAAUACCACCCUUUAAUGUUUGAUGUUCUAACGUUGACCCGUGAUCCGGGUUGCGGACAGUGUCUGGUGGGUAGUUUGACUGGGGCGGUCUCCUCCUAAAGAGUAACGGAGGAGCACGAAGGUUGGCUAAUCCUGGUCGGACAUCAGGAGGUUAGUGCAAUGGCAUAAGCCAGCUUGACUGCGAGCGUGACGGCGCGAGCAGGUGCGAAAGCAGGUCAUAGUGAUCCGGUGGUUCUGAAUGGAAGGGCCAUCGCUCAACGGAUAAAAGGUACUCCGGGGAUAACAGGCUGAUACCGCCCAAGAGUUCAUAUCGACGGCGGUGUUUGGCACCUCGAUGUCGGCUCAUCACAUCCUGGGGCUGAAGUAGGUCCCAAGGGUAUGGCUGUUCGCCAUUUAAAGUGGUACGCGAGCUGGGUUUAGAACGUCGUGAGACAGUUCGGUCCCUAUCUGCCGUGGGCGCUGGAGAACUGAGGGGGGCUGCUCCUAGUACGAGAGGACCGGAGUGGACGCAUCACUGGUGUUCGGGUUGUCAUGCCAAUGGCACUGCCCGGUAGCUAAAUGCGGAAGAGAUAAGUGCUGAAAGCAUCUAAGCACGAAACUUGCCCCGAGAUGAGUUCUCCCUGACUCCUUGAGAGUCCUGAAGGAACGUUGAAGACGACGACGUUGAUAGGCCGGGUGUGUAAGCGCAGCGAUGCGUUGAGCUAACCGGUACUAAUGAACCGUGAGGCUUAACCUUACAACGCCGAAGCUGUU
rnacentral:rRNA from 1 species